UUCAGCAGCCGGCGGUAAUACGUAGGUGGCAAGCGUUGUCCGGAAUUAUUGGGCGUAAAGCGCGCGCAGGCGGUCUCUUAAGUCUGAUGUGAAAGCCCACGGCUCAACCGUGGAGGGCCAUUGGAAACUGGGGGACUUGAGUACUGGAGAGGAGAGUGGAAUUCCAUGUGUAGCGGUGAAAUGCGUAGAUAUAUGGAGGAACACCAGUGGCGAAGGCGGCUCUCUGGCCAGUAACUGACGCUGAGGCGCGAAAGCGUGGGGAGCAAACAGGAUUAGAUACCCUGGUAGUCCACGCCGUAAACGAUGAGUGCUAGGUGUUGGGGGGUUCCACCCUCAGUGCUGACGUUAACACAUUAAGCACUCCGCCUGGGGAGUACGGCCGCAAGGCUGAAACUCAAAGGAAUUGACGGGGGCCCGCACAAGCAGUGGAGCAUGUGGUUUAAUUCGAAGCAACGCGAAGAACCUUACCAGGUCUUGACAUCCUUCGCUACUUCUAGAGAUAGAAGGUUCCCCUUCGGGGGACGAAGUGACAGGUGGUGCAUGGUUGUCGUCAGCUCGUGUCGUGAGAUGUUGGGUUAAGUCCCGCAACGAGCGCAACCCUUGAUCUUAGUUGCCAGCAUUCAGUUGGGCACUCUAAGGUGACUGCCGGUGACAAACCGGAGGAAGGUGGGGAUGACGUCAAAUCAUCAUGCCCCUUAUGACCUGGGCUACACACGUGCUACAAUGGAUGGUACAAAGGGCAGCAAAACCGCGAGGUUGAGCGAAUCCCAUAAAGCCAUUCUCAGUUCGGAUUGCAGGCUGCAACUCGCCUGCAUGAAGCCGGAAUUGCUAGUAAUCGCGGAUCAGCUGCCGCGA
rnacentral:rRNA from 1 species